rnacentral:rRNA from 1 species
GAUGAACGCUGGCGGCGAGCCUAAUACAUGCAAGUCGAGCGAAUGGAUUAAGAGCUUGCUCUUAUGAAGUUAGCGGCGGACGGGUGAGUAACACGUGGGUAACCUGCCCAUAAGACUAGGAUAAUUCCGGGAAACCGGGGCUAAUACCGGAUAACAUUUUGAACCGCAUGGUUCGAAAUUGAAAGGCGGCUUCGGCUGUCACUUAUGGAUGGACCCGCGUCGCAUUAGCUAGUUGGUGAGGUAACGGUUCACCAAGGCAACGAUGCGUAGCCAACCUGAGAGGGUGAUCGGCCACACUGGGACUGAGACACGGCCCAGACUCCUACGGGAGGCAGCAGUAGGGAAUCUUCCGCAAUGGACGAAAGUCUGACGGAGCAACGCCGCGUGAGUGAUGAAGGCUUUCGGGUCGUAAAACUCUGUUGUUAGGGAAGAACAAGUGCUAGUUGAAUAAGCUGGCACCUUGACGGUACCUAACCAGAAAGCCACGGCUAACUACGUGCCAGCCGCCGCCGUAA